GGGAGUGACUUGGCUUCGACAGGAGCAGGUUUUGCUUGACUGCAUGCCGCUUUGAACAGAGCGUAAAAAGUUCAUAAAUUUAGACGCAAAUAACAAAAAUUUCGCUCCCGCUUACGCUAAAGCUGCGUAAGUUUUAUCCUUAAAGGGAGGCUUUGCACCGCGGAUGCUAUCUAUGCGGAUUUAGCAAGGCUCAAAACCAAGAUAGCUCAGGAUGCCUUGUAACCGACGGCUUUCCGAAAUUCAGGUUUGCGCUUUUGUGUAGUUUUCGCGGAUUGAGUGAAACAGAAGCAAAGACUAAAUCAAUCCUUCUAAGCAUGUAGAGGUUGGGAUGAGGCUUGUUUUUGGACAGGGGUUCAAUUCCCCUCACUUCCACCA
rnacentral:tmRNA from 1 species